GACGAACGCUGGCGGCGUGCUUAACACAUGCAAGUCGAACGGACAGGCCCUGCUUUUGUUGGGUGCUCGAUUGCCGAACAGGUGAGUAACACGUGUGUAACCUGCCCUUGACUUUGGGAUAACUUCAGGAAACUGGGGCUAAUACCGGAUAGGAGCUCCUGCUGCAUGGUGGGCGUUGGAAAGUUUCGGCGGUUGGGGAUGGACUCGCGGCUUAUCCGCUUGUUGGUGGGGUAGUGGCUUACCAAGGCUUUGACGGGUAGCCGGCCUGGGAGGGUGACCGGCCACAUUGGGACUGAGAUACGGCCCAGACUCCUACGGGAGGCAGCAGUGGGGAAUAUUGCACAAUGGGCGGAAGCCUGAUGCAGCAACGCCGCGUGCGGGAUGACGGCCUUCGGGUUGUAAACCGCUUUCGCCUGUGACGAAGCGUGAGUGACGGUAAUGGGUAAAGAAGCACCGGCUAACUACGUG
rnacentral:rRNA from 1 species